CAUUUUGAUUUAAACUUGCAGUUCUUUUACAGGCACCGUACAGUAAUAGAGGUAUUGGAAAACAGCCUUAUUUAAGCAAGAGUCUACUUGAAACAGAUAAACAAUGCACCCUAACACCCUGACAGCUCUGAGAAAUCCCGCAAUGAACUACUUCAAUACUGACCAGCAACUUGAAAGACCCCUUGGAUCUAGAGAGCUCCUCAUGCAUAUAUAUAUGGCUAUGUGACAACUUUUGCCAACAGAAUGGCACUGACAGAAGACUGAGUGGUGGAAGCAAAGAGAAACCCUGGAAGCUACUAGACCUCCCCCAGUGUCUGGUGCCACUGGACAGCCAUUUAUUCUGCAGUCCUAGACCCUGACUGACAGUCUCCAACAUGACUCUCCAGAUGAACUCAGAAAACAACUCUGCUCCUUCUGAUUGUCCCUCCAAGUCUAGGAAUGGUAGCAGCUUCCAGUGGUUGCUAAUUUGAGAGAUGGUUUACCACCCUCUGCCAAGCUUCUCAGCUUUUCCAUCUUCUG